rnacentral:rRNA from 1 species
AACGAACGCUGGCGGCAUGCCUAACACAUGCAAGUCGAACGAGACCUUCGGGUCUAGUGGCGCACGGGUGCGUAACGCGUGGGAACCUGCCCUUAGGUUCGGAAUAACUCCCCGAAAGGGAUGCUAAUACCGGAUAAUGUCUUCGGACCAAAGAUUUAUCGCCGUUGGAUGGGCCCGCGUUGGAUUAGCUAGUUGGUAGGGUAAAAGCAUACCAAGGCGACGAUGCAUAGCUGGUCUGAGAGGAUGCUCAGCCACACUGGGACUGAGACACGGCCCAGACUCCUACGGGAGGCAGCAGUGGGGAAUAUUGGACAAUGGGCGAAAGCCUGAUCCAGCAAUGCCGCGUGAGUGAUGAAGGCCUUAGGGUUGUAAAGCUCUUUUACCCGGGAUGAUAAUGACAGUACCGGGAGAAUAAGCUCCGGCUAACUCCGUG